rnacentral:rRNA from 1 species
AUUGAACGCUGGCGGCAGGCCUAACACAUGCAAGUCGAACGAGUGGCGGACGGGUGAGUAAUGUCUGGGAAACUGCCCGAUGGAGGGGGGUAACUACUGGAAACGGUAGCUAAUACCGCAUACCAUCGGAUGUGCCCAGAUGGGAUUGGCUAGUAGGUGGGGUAAAGGCUCACCUAGGGGACGAUCCCUAGAUGGUCUGAGAGGAUGACCAGCCACACUUGAACUGAUACACGGUCCAGACUCCUACGUGAGGCAGCAGUGGGGAAUAUUGCACAAGGGUCGCAAGCCUGAUGCAGCCAUGCCGCGUGUAUGAAGAAGGCCUUCGGGUUGUAAAGUACUUUCAGCGAGGAGGCGUUACUCGCAGAAGAAGCACCGGCUAACUCCGUGCCAGCAGCCGCGGGAAAAC